AUUGAACGCUGGCGGCAGGCCUAACACAUGCAAGUCGAACGAGUGGCGGACGGGGGAGUAAUGUCAGGGAAACUGCCCGAGGGAGGGGGAUAACUAAUGGAAACGGUAGCUAAUAACGCAUACCAUAGGAUGUGCACAGAUGGGAUUAGCUAGUAGGAGUGGCAAAGGCACCCCUAGGCGACGAUCCCUAGCUGGUCUGAGUGGAUGACCAGCCACACUGGAACUGUGACACGGUUCAGACUCCUACGAUAGGCAGCAGUGGGGAAUAUUGCACAAUGGGCGGAAGCCUGAUGCAGCCAUGCCUCGUGUAUGAAGAAGGCCUUCGGGUUUUAAAGUACUUUCAGCGAGGAGGCGUUACUCGCAGAAGAAGCACCGGCUAACUCCGUGCCAGCAGCCGCGGUAAUU
rnacentral:rRNA from 1 species